rnacentral:rRNA from 1 species
GUGAGGAAUAUUGGUCAAUGGGCGAGAGCCUGAACCAGCCAAGUCGCGUGAAGGAAGAAGGAUCUAUGGUUCGUAAACUUCUUUUGCAGGGGAAUAAAGUGCGGGACGUGUCCUGUUUUGUAUGUACCCUGAGAAUAAGGAUCGGCUAACUCCGUGCCAGCAGCCGCGGUAAUACGGAGGAUCCGAGCGUUAUCCGGAUUUAUUGGGUUUAAAGGGUGCGUAGGUGGUUUGAUAAGUCAGCGGUGAAAGUUUGCAGCUUAACUGUAAAAAUGCCGUUGAAACUGUCGGACUUGAGUGUAAAUGAGGUAGGCGGAAUGCGUGGUGUAGCGGUGAAAUGCAUAGAUAUCACGCAGAACUCCGAUUGCGAAGGCAGCUUACUAAGCUACAACUGACACUGAAGCACGAAAGCGUGGGGAUCAAACAGGAUUAGAAACCCGUGUAGUCC